rnacentral:tRNA from 1 species
GCCUGAGUGGUGGAAUGGUAUACACAGGAGACUUAAAAUCUCCCGAGCGAUAGCUCAUAUGGGUUCGAAUCCCAUCUUAGGCACCA